rnacentral:sRNA from 1 species
AAUGGGUUUGAGAACUCUAAAUUCACAUUUUACUCAUUGGAUCACUCAACAACAGGAACCAUAUGCCUCAAUAAGUUAAAUGGUGAAACGUCACCAAUUUCCAGUUCUCUUUGUCGCUCAGCCCACCUGCUGAAGUCAAUGCAGUUGAAACUACAAUCCAGCUCAAUUACACAUCUAGGAAACGGAAAUUGUUUACCUCAAAAAUUUUACUCUCAACAUGGG